GAAAGCUCCCUUCGGGGAGUGAGUACAGUGGCGAACGGGUGAGUAACGCGUAGGAAACCUGCCCUGUAGCGGGGGAUAACAGUUCUAACGAGCUGCUAAUACCGCAUACGACCCCACUUCCUCAUGGAGGAGGGGUGAAAGAAGGCCUCUGAUUCAAGCUUUCACUACAGGAUGGUCCUGCGUCCCAUUAGCUUGUUGGUGGGGUAACGGCCCACCAAGGCCGCGAUGGGUAGCCGGCCUGAGAGGGUGUCCGGCCACACUGGGACUGAGAUACGGCCCAGACUCCUACGGGAGGCAGCAGUCGAGAAGCUUCGGCAAUGGGCGAAAGCCUGACCGAGCGACGCCGCGUGAGCGAUGAAGGUCCUACGGAUUGUAAAGCUCUGUCAGAUUGGGAAGAAAACUCGGGGGUUAAUACCCUCCGAGCCUGACGGUACCAUCAGAGGAAGCACCGGCUAACUCCGUGCCAGCAGCCGCGGUAAUACGGAGGGUGCAAGCGUUGUUCGGAUUCACUGGGUAUAAAGGGUGCGCAGGCGGGACAAUAAGUCAGAGGUGAAAUCUGCCGGCUUAACCGGCACACUGCCUCUGAAACUGUCGUUCUUGAGUCCGGA
rnacentral:rRNA from 1 species